UACGUAGGGGGCAAGCGUUGUCCGGAUUUAUUGGGCGUAAAGAGCGUGUAGGCGGCCAGACAGGUCCGUUGUGAAAACUGGAGGCUCAACCUCCAGACGUCGAUGGAAACCGUCUGGCUAGAGUCCGGAAGAGGAGAGUGGAAUUCCUGGUGUAGCGGUGAAAUGCGCAGAUAUCAGGAAGAACACCGAUGGCGAAAGCGCUCUGCUGGGCCUUAACUGACACUGAGGGACGAAAGCUAGGGGAGCGAAUGGG
rnacentral:rRNA from 1 species